UCGCGGCUACCAUGCAAGUCGAACGGAAAGGCCCUGCUUUUGUGGGGUGCUCGAGUGGCGAACGGGUGAGUAACACGUGAGUAACCUGCCCUUGACUUUGGGAUAACUUCAGGAAACUGGGGCUAAUACCGGAUAGGAGCUCCUGCUGCAUGGUGGGGGUUGGAAAGUUUCGGCGGUUGGGGAUGGACUCGCGGCUUAUCAGCUUGUUGGUGGGGUAGUGGCUUACCAAGGCUUUGACGGGUAGCCGGCCUGAGAGGGUGACCGGCCACAUUGGGACUGAGAUACGGCCCAGACUCCUACGGGAGGCAGCAGUGGGGAAUAUUGCACAAUGGGCGGAAGCCUGAUGCAGCAACGCCGCGUGCGGGAUGACGGCCUUCGGGUUGUAAACCGCUUUCGCCUGUGACGAAGCGUGAGUGACGGUAAUGGGUAAAGAAGCACCGGCUAACUGCGUGCCAGCAGCCGCGGUGAUACGUAGGGUGCGAGCGUUGUCCGGAUUUAUUGGGCGUAAAGGGCUCGUAGGUGGUUGAUCGCGUCGGAAGUGUAAUCUUGGGGCUUAACCCUGAGCGUGCUUUCGAUACGGGUUGACUUGAGGAAGGUAGGGGAGAAUGGAAUUCCUGGUGGAGCGGUGGAAUGCGCAGAUAUCAGGAGGAACACCAGUGGCGAAGGCGGUUCUCUGGGCCUUUCCUGACGCUGAGGAGCGAAAGCGUGGGGAGCGAACAGGCUUAGAUACCCUGGUAGUCCACGCUGUAAACGGUGGGUACUAGGUGUGGGGUCCAUUCCACGGGUUCCGUGCCGUAGCUAACGCUUUAAGUACCCCGCCUGGGGAGUACGGCCGCAAGGCUAAAACUCAAAGGAAUUGACGGGGCCCC
rnacentral:rRNA from 1 species